GGUAUGGGAUGAGCUUGCGUCCGAUUAGCUAGUUGGCGGGGCAACGGCCCACCAAGGCGACGAUCGGUAGCCGGCCUGAGAGGGUGAUCGGCCACAUUGGGACUGAGAUACGGCCCAGACUCCUACGGGAGGCAGCAGUAGGGAAUAUUGCACAAUGGGGGAAACCCUGAUGCAGCAACGCCACGUGUGGGAAGACGCAUUUCGGUGUGUAAACCACUGUCAUGAGGGAAUAAGGCCCGCCUUCGGACGGGAUUGAAUGUACCUUGAGAGGAAGCACCGGCAAACUUCGUGCCAGCAGCCGCGGUAAUACGAGGGGUGCAAGCGUUGUUCGGAAUUACUGGGCGUAAAGGGAGCGUAGGCGGAGAUUCAAGCGGAUUGUACAAUCCCGGGGCCCAACCCCGGCUCUGCAGUCCGAACUGGAUCUCUUGGAUAGUUCAGGGGCAGGC
rnacentral:rRNA from 1 species